UCAGGUUCAGUCGGCAAUUAAGAAAAAAUGGUACAACUUCCGACUUGCGAAUAGCGGAAACCGACGUUUUAUGAGGACAAAUUCAGUUUACACGUCUGUCUCAGAAGUCCAAACGGUGCCAAUGUAUCAGGUGGAAGCAACCAAAGUACGAAAUGAAGCCCAUGCCAUUCCACUGUUACCAAACAGCGCAACAGUUGCCGACGAAACGAAAAUUGAAAUACGGUAGAGAAAAAGACGAAAUCUUGUAUAGAGACAGCAAGGUUUUAUAACAAACAGUAAGAGCGAAUAUGUGUGUGCCUGUGUGUGUGUGUGCGCGCGUGUGUGUGUGUGUGUGAUGCCGUUGUUUGUGUGUGUAUAUAUACAGUAUAUAUGGUGUACAUGGAUGUAGAUAUAGAAAGAAUGGAUGGGGACAGAAAAAAGACAGAGAGAUCAAAUCAAAGGAAGGAAGAGGAGGAAGAGAAUUGAAUAUUUUUUUUCUUUUACUUUUGGACUGGGCUGCAAAGAUAUAAACUUUAUGGAUGAGCAAAAUGCAUUAAUUCACUUAAUCGGGCGCACAGUGUACGGAUUCCAAUUAUUUUACUAAGCUCCGGAGAGAUAAAAGGCAAAAUUGAAUUUUAAAUGAGAAAUUUUAAAAGAAAGGCAUUUAAAAAAAUAAUAACAUACAUCUGAGAAAAUAAGAAAGAAAAAAUGGGAAAGAAUGAAUGGGGAAUGAGAGAACGAGGAAAUUGCGAAUAUGAAAUGAGGUAAAUAUAUGUGUGUGGGUGAAUGAAAGAUAAUUAGAGAAUGGAUGAAUAAUAAGAAGAACGGAAAGGAAAAUGGAUUACAAAGACAAAGUUAUAAGAAUAAGAGCAGAAUCGAAAGACGACUGCACACGUGUAUAUGUGUGUGUGUGUGUGUGUGUGUGUGUGUGUGUGUGUGUAUACAUACAUAGAUAUAUUUAUAUACAUGCAUACACACGCACCUACAUAUAUGUGGGGGGUGUAUAGUAUGUGUGUGUGUUUGCCAAUUAAACCAUUGUCAAACUGACGAUGUCUUAACUGGCCGAAACUUCCAGGUCUCUGUUAGUAAUAUUUUUGUUUAAGAAUAAAUUUAUACUCUACAAAUGUAUAGAGUAACCCAUUAAAUUAUUGUAAAAUUUUUAACUGAACAUAAAAACAAACAUUAAGAUAACCGUUUCAUUAAAUACACGACUAUGGUCAAUAUUUCUCUCUGUUAUGUAUUUUCCAUACUUUCUUAUUAGCUUUUGACAAUGGUUUCCAAAAUAGGUUCCUAACCUCAUAUCCGACGUUUCUAGACGUUCACAAUUUCAUUAUCAAGGACUGAAUUGAAGAUAUUUUCCGUUUGUGGUGUUUCUUAUAGACUGAUUGAAUUCGUGUAGACUUUAAGAAACUAUUAGAUUGAUUUACAUUUGUUCAUAUUAUCGAAUGAAGAUGUGAUAACUUACAGCGUUAGACAUUUGUAUAAUAACAUUCCAUGUUAGUACUAAAUAACUGAUGGAUUAUUUGUGUAGCACAGUUAAACUGUAUGCACGCUGAUAUAAUCAAUUAAACUCAGAUAAAAUUGUAUCUAAUUUCAGAAAAAAAAAAGCAAGCUGAGUGUAUUUACAAUCUGAUAUAAUCAGUAAAAACGGUUUCUUUAUCAUUCGGAAAUCUUUCAUUUAGAGUUGAUGGAACUAGUAUUAACCUUAGCGGUUUCACAAAUUAAUCGGAAGUAAUGUUUUUGCUAUCAUUAUCAUCAUAGUCACCAAGAAAUCGGCGAACUGGCAGACUGGUUAGAGCAUCGGUAUAAAUACUUCAGAAUAUUUGUAACUGAACUUUGUUAUGAGUUCAAAUCUUGCUGAGGUUAACUUUGCCUUUAAUCUUUUCGGGUACCAUUCCAAUAAUAGAGUCGGUAUGAUCGACUUACCCCGUCCCCCUAAACUUGCUGGCCAUAUGCUAAAAUUAGAAACAAUUACGAGUUCCAAUUCUGUCAAGGUUGACUUUGCCUUUCAUCGGAAUCGAUAAAAUAACUACCACUCAAAUACUGGGGGGGGGAUGUAAUUUCUGUUCAUUGUUCCUUAUGCCAACAUAUGAAAAAAGUUAUAUAAGGCGGCGAGGUGACAGAAGUUUUAGCGUAUCGGACAAAAUGGUCGGAGACAUUCAUUCCGGUUCUUUAUGUUCUGAGUUUAAACGCCACCAAGGUUAAAUCUUUUCAUCCCUUAGGGGUCGAUAAAAAGAUGAUGUCGAUGUGACCGACUUUUCCUUCUCCUCAAAAUUGCCGGGCUUGUGUGACAAGUUAGUAAAAUAUAUUAUCACAUUUUUGAACAGUGAUUUAAGAUAGAUGUCAAGAAAUUACUGUCCUUGUACCAAAAUUUGAAACCAAUUCCUCAAUAGGUGGUUCGAGAACCGCCCAUGCAAAUUUUCUUUUUAGAGCUGGCAGAAUCGUUUGCGCGCCGAACAAAAUUCUUAGCGGCAUUUCGUCUAUCUUUACGUCCUGAAUUCAAAUUCCACCAAAGUCGACUUUGCCUUUCAAGGUCAAUAAGUACCAGUUGAGUACUGGGGUCGAUGUAAUCGACUUACCUCCUCCCUUGAAAACACUGGCCUUGUGCCAAAAUUUAGAACCAAUAUUUAUACGACUACAGGGCGGCGAGACGGCAGAAUUCUUACCACACCGGAAAAAUGCUUAGCGUUAUAUCUUCCGACUUUACGUUCCGAGUCCAAAUGCCACCAAAGCCGACUUUGCCUUUCAUCUUUUCGGUGUCCUUAAUAUAGGUACCAGUUGCGUACUAGGGGCCGAUGUAAUUGACUAACACCCUGCCCUCGCCGGAAUUGCUGGAGUGAUGCAAAAAUAUAUAUAAGACUAUAAUAUUUCUGUUAAACCUAAAAAUGCUCAUUUUAAACCCAUUAAUGUUAAACCUAUUCUAUAUAAAUUUAUGUAACAAACAUAAAGGUGAAGACAUAGCUGUCUGCUUAAGAACAGUUGUUCGCAAUGGCGUUGUUACGGAGUUGAUCGCAUGGAGCGACAUUUACAAUAUUCGAUGAAAAUGAAAUUUUGUAGACGUUAGUGUUGAGUAAAACCAUCGAUUGUGUAGGUAAAUAUAAACAUGAGAUGAACAGACUCGGCACGUCGGGCAAAGUUAACUUGUGGCAUAUAGUGUCAUUUCUAACAUGUAUAAUUAUUCGAAAGUUUAAUUGCCUUGUGUUCGUAGAAAAUCGGUAUGAAUUUGGUGUGCUAACACAGGAUACUAUUAAUAGGAAAAUAUUUAUAGCACAUGUUGUUUGUACGAUAGUGGAAGCUAGCGGACCACUGUGCGAUAAUCAGAACUUUCCAUGAAUAGGUCCUAGAUAUGUCGCAUAUUUUCCACCUACAGGGAAUUUUAAUUUCAAAAUAGAACAUUUUCUGUGGCUCAGCAAAGACACAUACAAUAAGAAAAUCGAAACUGGGGUCGCAGAUUUGACUCACCAGGAACUUACCUCUCGCCGUAGGUCAUGAAUGCGUCGACGACAUUGACAAUGUGUUGCAUAUGAACGUAGAAAUUGAGAAUAUGAUUGGUGGGGUUGACUGGAAGAAUGGGAAAUAGAAGACAAUAGAAUAUGAGAAAAUGGAAACCAAAAUAGAUUUGUACA
rnacentral:lncRNA from 1 species